UUGCUUGUUAGUAAAGAAGCAACAAGCAUUGCAGUCCAAAGGUAAUCACAGGAUGAAAUCACUUCCAGAUGCCAGGCCCCACUCCUGAUGGUGAAAGCAGACUUUACAAUUGCAGUGGACCAGAGCCGCACGUCUCCCCCUGGGCUCAAGGAGCUUUCUUUGAAGUCACAAGGCAGAAGUCGUGCAUGUGGAAGAGGUAUGCAACUUAUUA
rnacentral:lncRNA from 1 species